UACUCGAAAAAGAAAAAAGAAAAAAAGAAACCCCACACGCACACGCACACACCGGUCGUCCAGCAAUCGUCGUCCAGCACCACCACCGCUGCCCACCGGCGAGCGAUGUCGGCCGCCGCGAAGGUGAGGGCGAGCGGCGGCAAGAGGGGUGGAGCCCAGGACCCGGACGAGGCACCACGGUCCGACAAGAGGCGGCGCAACAUGGACGACUGCGACCGCGAGCUCGAGCUCGACAGGUGUGCCUCCUCCCCCUCCCUCCCCAGCUAUUCGCGCCGCUGCUCUGCGCUCGGCGCGUCCCGCUCGCGGCGUUUCUCGGAUGGAAUAGACCGAGUGUUUCCUGGCCGCGCCCCCUCCUCCUCCUCUCUCCCACGCUCGAUUUGUGUCAGAUUUUCGCGUGCUUCACUGAUUUGGCCGUAUGAUUUCUGGGUGUUUGCUCCGACGGGAUCCGCCGAGACAAUGACUUCAAGCAGAUCGUGACGACGCUGCGCCACAUCAAGGACAAGGCUCACAAGGACGGCCAGAAGAAGACCGAGCAGGCCAUCUCCAGUGUUACAACAGAGAUUCAAUCUAUGGUACAGGACACCAAGACAGUUUGAGAAGGAAAGAUUUUUUUCUCAAAGUUUGAAGUUGAAAAGGAGAAGCUGAUAGUUCAGUAUGAACUGCAAAGGUAUAAGGAAAUGACUAGUAUUUCUGAUGUUGAGAAAAGAGUUUCAGAGAGGCUAGCAGAUGCAGACGAGUCUCCGAAGAAGUUGAAGCAGGGUAGGGUGACAGAUCCAUCAUCAAGCUUCGCAAGUCCUUUGCCUCGUUCCUGGGCCCCCGAUGACGAGGAGGACUGAUACGGCUCUUGCCAGAUGGUCCGUGUUUCAGAUCAAAGUGGAUAGUGGUAUAUGGUUGUGAAGAAGAGAGAUGAUACACAGGCACAGCACAGGGGAAAGAGAGAGUAGAUUCUGUAGGAUUUCUACAGCUUCUUCACCCGCAGUACGGUUUCGGUAUUCCGGUCAUGAUCAAACCUCACUUUUCCUGCUCUUACUUAUAUUCAGCAUCCAUUGCUGAACUUCUGGCCGACCUCUGCUGAAGUUUUCCAACAUGUAAAUUCUCUAGCAGCCUUCCCCAUAUGUCUGGACUCUGGACCAACAACAUUCAGUAACAAACAUAUAGUGCUACAUAUACAUAUACUGUAUCAAGCAAUUAUUAUAUAAUCUUGGCAUGGAUGUAUGUUUCCAAGGAAAAAUAGAAAAGUUUACAUCUAUUGCAAGGUUUAUCACA